GCAGUGGUAAUACAAUAGUAGAACCCUUGCCUUCCAUGUGGGAGACCUGGGUUCAAUUCCCGGCCAGUGCA
rnacentral:tRNA from 1 species